rnacentral:misc_RNA from 1 species
UCUGAUACAGCAGGAAAAACAUCUAACAACAAUUGGCUUAAUACCUAAUCUCAUCAUCAUAACAAAACACCUCACUGCUUCCGAAAACCUCUUCCUUUUCACAUACCAUCAAAAAUUAGUAAUCCACGCAACAACAUUUCUUUUAUGCAUAGUUCUAAACACCCUUUAAACUAAACCACAAUCAGAACCAUUAUCCAAUGUAAG